rnacentral:rRNA from 1 species
CCUACGGGAGGCAGCAGUGGGGAAUAUUGGACAAUGGGCGCAAGCCUGAUCCAGCAAUGCCGCGUGGGUGAAGAAGGUCUUCGGAUUGUAAAGCCCUUUCGACGGGGAGGCGGUACCCGUAGAAGAAGCCCCGGCUAACUUCGUGCCAGCAGCCGCGGUAAUACGAAGGGGGCUAGCGUUGCUCGGAAUGACUGGGCGUAAAGGGCGCGUAGGCGGAUGGUACAGUCAGAUGUGAAAUUCCCGGGCUCAACCUGGGGGCUGCAUUUGAUACGUGCUGUCUAGAGUGUGGAAGAGGGUUGUGGAAUUCCCAGUGUAGAGGUGAAAUUCGUAGAUAUUGGGAAGAACACCGGUGGCGAAGGCGGCAACCUGGUCCAUACUGACGCUGAGGCGCGAAAGCGUGGGGAGCAAACAGGAUUAGAUACCCUUGUAGUC